UCGUCACACUAUCAUUAACUGAAUCCAUAGGUUAAUGAGGCGAACCGGGGGAACUGAAACAUCUAAGUACCCCGAGGAAAAGAAAUCAACCGAGAUUCCCCCAGUAGCGGCGAGCGAACGGGGAGGAGCCCAGAGCCUGAAUCAGCAUGUGUGUUAGUGGAAGCGUCUGGAAAGGCGCGCGAUACAGGGUGACAGCCCCGUACACAAAAGCGCAUGUGCUGUGAGCUCGAUGAGUAGGGCGGGACACGUGGUAUCCUGUCUGAAUAUGGGGGGACCAUCCUCCAAGGCUAAAUACUCCUGACUGACCGAUAGUGAACCAGUACCGUGAGGGAAAGGCGAAAAGAACCCCGGCGAGGGGAGUGAAAAAGAACCUGAAACCGUGUACGUACAAGCAGUGGGAGCACCCUUCGGGGUGUGACUGCGUACCUUUUGUAUAAUGGGUCAGCGACUUAUAUUCUGUAGCAAGGUUAACCGAAUAGGGGAGCCGGAGGGAAACCGAGUCUUAACCGGGCGUUAAGUUGCAGGGUAUAGACCCGAAACCCGGUGAUCUAGCCAUGGGCAGGUUGAAGGUUGGGUAACACUAACUGGAGGACCGAACCGACUAAUGUUGAAAAAUUAGCGGAUGACCUGUGGCUGGGGGUGAAAGGCCAAUCAAACCGGGAGAUAGCUGGUUCUCCCCGAAAGCUAUUUAGGUAGCGCCUCGUGAAUUCAUCUCCGGGGGUAGAGCACUGUUUCGGCUAGGGGGCCAUCCCGGCUUACCAACCCGAUGCAAACUGCGAAUACCGGAGAAUGUUAUCACGGGAGACACACGGCGGGUGCUAACGUCCGUCGUGAAGAGGGAAACAACCCAGACCGCCAGCUAAGGUCCCAAAGUCAUGGUUAAGUGGGAAACGAUGUGGGAAGGCCCAGACAGCCAGGAUGUUGGCUUAGAAGCAGCCAUCAUUUAAAGAAAGCGUAAUAGCUCACUGGUCGAGUCGGCCUGCGCGGAAGAUGUAACGGGGCUAAACCAUGCACCGAAGCUGCGGCAGCGA
rnacentral:rRNA from 1 species